rnacentral:rRNA from 1 species
UACGUAGGGGGCAAGCGUUGUCCGGAUUUAUUGGGCGUAAAGCGCUCGCAGGUGGUCCGAUGCGUCGUGCGUGAAAGACCCCGGCUCAACUGGGGGGUGUCGUGCGAUACGGUCGGACUGGAGGCCAGUAGGGGGAUGCGGAAUUCCGGGUGUAGUGGUGGAAUGCGUAGAUAUCGUAAGGAAGACCAGUGGCGAAGGCGGGUCUCUGGACAGUUCCUGACGCUGAGGCACGAAGGCCAGGGGAGCAAACGGG